UGGUCGUUAGCAAGGUUUAGGAACUCUUUCUCAAUUGUUGUGGACAGCACCAUGAAAAAAAAUUACCCACUAGGUUUCUGCCUGCCUUGCCAGUGAUCAGCCUAUUGGGAACAUUU